AAUGAAGGAGGAUCUUAUACACUCUCCCUUGGUAUUGGCGGCAUUCGAAGAAAAUGGCGCCAUUGAACUCUCUGGAGAAAGAGUAUCCCCUCAUCGAUCCUAACUUCCAAACUUUUUGCGCUUCCCACGCCAUUUACUCUGUCGAAGAUUUCCUCCUGCACGAUCUCGACGCAUUACUCACUUCCGCGGCCAAUCAUUCCACUUCCCAGAGAUUGAAGCAGGGUAUUCAUCAGCUUCUGUCUAUUGUCGAUGCUCUACAUCCGCCAUUGCUUAAUGGUUUGCAGCUUCUUGAAGACUCUAAACGGAAUAAACAUGUUUUGUCCACUGGUUGUGAACGGAUUGAUGCAUUUCUCGGAGGUGGAUUACGUGAAGGACAAUUAACUGAGCUUGUUGGACCAUCCUCUUCUGGCAAGACACAGGCUUGUUUGAUGUCUGCCUCAACUGUUGCAAAGCAUAAGUGUUCAGUUAUAUAUUUAGAUACUGGCAAUUCCUUUUCACCUCAGCGGAUUGCACAUUUUGUUGGCCAGUCUUCUGAUUAUAUCUCAGGCGAUCAGGCUGACUGUAAACUUCUACAGAACGUAUUAGACAGGAUAAUUUGCUACCCGGUGUUUGAUGUAUAUCAGAUGUUUGAUCUGCUGCAUCAACUGGAAAUCAAUUUUAGAUCUGAGAUUGACAAAUCAGAUCGUCAUGUACAACUGCUUAUUGUUGAUUCAAUCUCUUCACUGAUUACUCCCAUCCUUAGGGGAAGUGGUCCUCAGGGUAUAGUACAUAUUUGCAUGCAAAAUUCCUUGGUAUGCUUACCAUUUAUUCCCUUUGUAUACCUUUGGAUAUUUUUCUACUGUCCUGGCUUUCUUGACAAGCUCAGAACUAAAUGAUACUGUCAGGUACUUGGUAAAUUAUAUUAUCUGUUAUUCAUAAUCAUGGAUCAUCCUUGUUAUUCUAGAUUCCCAGUCAAAUUACAUAAUCAGUAAUCUAGUGUCAAUUCUUAAAGAUCUGAGCUUGGGUGAACUUGGAUCAUAAAGGCUGAAGCCUGAAGUGAACAAAUGAAGUAGACUCAAAGGUUUUGUUUUGGGACUUUUAUGUAUGCUGUCAUUAGAUUUGCCGACUUAGUAAUUCGUGAGUGGAGUGGGGAUAUAAAGUUGACUUGAUGGUUAGAGUGAGAGAGUCAAGGAGUGGAGUGAUAAAGAGGUUGAGAGUUCUAUCCCCACCCAAAACAUAACAAUAAUAUAUAGGAGCAUUUUUCAUUCAAAAAAUAUAGUGAGUUUUGAGCUAGUUUACCCGAGUUUACCCAAAAGCAAGUUUGUUGGGAGUUAACCAGUGUCUGAUACCUAGACAUGUAAAAUUUUGAGUCAACUUGUGAGUUAGAAAACCAUAUGGUUUUGAGAUAUGUCUUGUUUACUUACUAUACCAAAACAACAGUCUUGAAUACCAGACUUCAGUUAUUAUGCUCUGGUAUGUAUUAUAUUCAAGCAUGCAUACCCAUGUUAGUCGUCUGUUAUAUGGUAUCCACAUAUAUCACUUGACAAGCAUGCAUCAAGUCAAGUAUUUCAUCAUAGUUUCAAAGUUGAAUCACUAGUUGCUAUUUCUCUUUCUUUGAAAAACGUAAAAAGAAGAGAUUAGAUAUUCCCCAAUAAAUUGAUUGGACUGUUUCAUAAUGAGGAGUCUGGUUAUAUGGAUCAUAAGCCAUUCGGAAAAUUGUUGAGGUUUAGGUCUUGCCUGUUAUGUCUUACUAGAACAUUUUCGCUUUGUUCUGAUCAAUUUUUAUGUUAAGUUUUUCCAACAUGGGAUACUCUUUAAUGAUAUCUGUUGGGUUUCUAUUGAAGAAGCUAGCACAUGAGCAUAAUAUUGCAGUGUUGGUGACAAAUCAUGUGGUGGGUGGGGAAGACGGUAAUUCAAAACCAGCACUUGGAGAGAGUU